rnacentral:lncRNA from 1 species
GGGGAUAUACACACGGACCCGCCGAAUACAAAAAACGAACCCCUCCUCUGUCCUUCAUCUUCUUCAUCAACCUGUAGGCAACUACCAACUCCAAGUCUAACAACAACAUCACAGCAGCCCUUCACCAGUUCAACGAACACAGCCACCCCGUCGUUCCCACUUAAUCCCUGAACCUUAAAGCCGUUGGAACCUCUGUUUUCUCGACUGAACGGAACUGGCAACACCACCACCUUCUCCAACCAAAGCUCGCCGGAAUACGCACACACGUCGUCACGUACAAAGACCAAAACGGGACAGAAAUCAAGGGAAUAAUAGUGAGCCUUGAGGAACCCAUUUUGCAGAUCUUCAUUUGUUCUUUGAAAGCCAAAAAGAUACAAAAAAAACAUAUUUUCUGUUUCGUUCUUUAUUUUUGAUUCUGGGUUGUGUUCAAGGAUGGACUCUGAUUGAAAUGUGGUUUUGAAUUCGGGUUUGGGUUGAGCCUUCCGGUGUUAUUUCGGAUCCCGUCGAUUAUUUGGUUUUCCGGUGAGGAUUCAAUCCAUCGAGGUUCCAUCGUGGUCUCCGGCUUACGGUCUAUUUGUGUUCAACUACAGUGUCGCGUUUUCUUGUAAACUAGUUGGAAAAUCUUUAAUAUAUUGAAAGAUUUCAGAGGUCCGUUCUUCUUUCCUUCACUGUUUAGCUCUUAAUAUCAUGUUUUGACAACUUCCCUUAAUCUCUUAUUGAAUGUUUGUGUUAGUUCGUAAAAAACUUAAAAGACUGUGAUGACUUAUACUUAUAUUUCUUCAGCAACCCACAGCAUGAGGGUUUGGCUUAUCUCAUUAAUUUUUGUUGAGCUUAUUGUGUUGUUCUCUUUUUGUGAGUUUGGUUAUUGUUGUUAUUAUCUUGAUUUCAUGAAAGUUCAAAGAAGAACCAGGCCAGUAGAGUUAUAUUAAUGUCGUAGUUAAUUUGGUAUCGUGCUAAUAAUAAUGACAAUCAUAUGAUGAGGAAAAUUAAUUUUUAAUUAAUAAGGAUUAAGAUCAUAGUGCCACUAGUUUUUUGAAUCAAACAUAAGAAGGACGAUUUUAUCUUUCUUUAAAGAGUUAAGGUUUCUAUUUGUGAUUUGUUGAAGUAUUCUAAUUUAUAAUUAUUCUAAUAAAUGGAUAGUGCUGAAAUUUCUUUUGGCACACUUGAAAAUGCAUUAGCAUCUUAAUAAUGGAGAGAGAUGAUGAUUUAGGACGUACAGGUGAUAACCAUUUUUAAAAAUGGAUUUUCGGCCUAUGUAUAUGUUCGCGUGACAUAGUUACGAUUCUUUUAAAAAUAAAAAUCAAGGUAUGCGUUCGCGCAACUUUGGCCAAGCUUUUCCUAAAUAUGCGUUCGCGCAAAUUUGGCCAAGCUUUUCCUAAAUAACUAAGUGCUAGGAAUUGUGGACACGUACGCGUGACAUGAUUUUUGACACACCGAGCGAAAUGAGUACAUGUACGCGUGACUCAUUUCAGGUUAAUUUCUUAAUUAAAAGCGGUUAAGGGAGGGGAUACACAUAGGUUCUAAAAUGAGUAAUUAAACAAUUUUAAUAAGCCAAGUAUGAUCAAAGCGACCGUGCUAGAACCACGGAACUCGGAAAUGCCUAACACCUUCUCCCGGGUUAACAGAAUUCCUUACCCAGACUUCUGUGUUCGCAGACUGUAUAACAGAGUCAAUCUUUCCUCGAUUCGGGAUUUUAAACUGGUGACUUGGGACACCAUAAAUUAUCCCAAGUGGCGACUCUGAUUUGUUUUAAAAAAUAAAAUAAUCCCGUUUCGAUUGUCACUUAAAUUGGAAAAAACUCCCUUAUACCCUUUUCGGGGGUAGAAAAAAGGAGGUGUGACAAUGUGUACUUGUUUCUUAUUUCCUUAUCUUUUGCUGGUAAUUUAUUUAUGGUGUUCUUUACAUUUCUCUACUAUUAUUUUGUUGUUAUCAGUUACUCCCCGCAACAUGUUUCCCCGCCCAACUUUAGCUGUAAUUUAUCAAUUUUUAUUUCCAUUGUAUAUGAUUUAAUUGUACAGGUUUUUUGGUAGUCUGGUCUUAGCCUCGUCACUACCUCGCCGAGGUUAGGCUAGGCACUUACCAGCACAUGGGGUCGAUUGUGCUGAUACUACACUCUGCAUUGUGUGCAGAUACUGAUACCGGAGCGUUUGGACCACAGUGAGGGUGCUGCCCACUCAAGCGACCCGAGGUAGUCCUGCAGACGUUCGCGGGCCUUGGCGUCUCCUGCUAUCACUUCUCUUUCUGUUUUUACUGAUUCAGAGACAGAUUUGUGUAAUUUCAUUCAGACCUUAUUUGUAGUAUUCUUAAAUAGUCCGUGACUUGUGACACCAAAUUCUGGGUAGUAUUGUACUUCAAAGUAUAUAUCAG